UACAGAGGUGGCAAGCGUUGUUCGGAAUUACUGGGCGUAAAGGGCGCGUAGGCGGCCUACUAAGUCAGACGUGAAAUCCCCCGGCUUAACCUGGGAACUGCGUCUGAUACUGGAAGGCUUGAGGAUGGGAGAGGGAUGUAGAAUUCCAGGUGUAGCGGUGAAAUGCGCAGAUAUCAGGAGGAACACCGGUGGCGAAGGCGGUUCUCUGGGCCGAUACUGACGCUGAGGAGCGAAAGCGUGGGGAGCAAACAGG
rnacentral:rRNA from 1 species